AACUGAUUGUUCCUUCUGGUAUCUUCACGCGCCUGUGAUCACUUGUUGUAAUGGCAACCGAUGAGGGCAGAGAGAAUUCUUCGUGCUGCUUGGCGAGUGACACUGUGCGUCUUUUCUUUUCGAUUGGAAUUUUUCAAUUGAGGGCUUCGGAAUAAUUGGAUCUGCUAUUAAGACAAAGGGAAGAGAACAAAUCGCAAUGAUAUGGAAAUUUGUAGGAUUGUUGGUUGCCAUGGUAACGAUGGGCGCCAUCUUGGCUGAAACCUCCUACCACAAGAUAGAUGACAAAAUAGACAAAUAUAUGUAUGGAUUCCCGUCUUUCUGCUCCUGGGACCAAAUGUGCAAGUCCGCCUACAAGAAUUAUUUCGAAUGUAAGUGUCCUUCAUACAGACCUUUCUGCACUAGCCAGGGAACGUAUUACGAUGCCAUGUGCGCCCCGAGGUAUGCUCUUAGCUGGAUGAUCUGGCUGCAGCCGCACCAGGGCACGGCGGACCUGGAGUGAGUUGUAUUUGGGCGAUCGCCGCGUUGACAUCUUGCUUUGACUUGGUCAAUAGCGCAAGGGAAUGUUGGUGAUCGUCGCGAGGACUGCUUCGCUCGACUUGGUCAAUAGCGUGAGAAGAAGAACAGGGAGAUACCUGUAAAUCGACAUGUUUCGUAUUCUUAGUAACAGCUUGGAUAAUGGGAUGGAAAUGUUCGCGUUUCGUUGAGUGUUUUUCUGACAGAGCAGCAUGGUCAACGGGUUAUGCAUUUGCCUGAAAGAUCUCCAAGCCGGGUACAAAAUUGUGUUUAAGAGAACAGACUCCCACCCUUCAAGUUGGCAUUCACCUCAUUUUGAAGAAGUUCUAAUUGCUUUAGGAUAUCAAGUUGUAGCCAAAACUGCGGUACCUACAUGUAUGAUGGUCAACCCUUUAAAU